rnacentral:rRNA from 1 species
UUAUAUUCUGUAGCAAGGUUAACCGUAUAGGGGAGCCGGAGGGAAACCGAGUCUUAACCGGGCGUUAAGUUGCAGGGUAUAGACCCGAAACCCGGUGAUCUAGCCAUGGGCAGGUUGAAGGUUGGGUAACACUAACUGGAGGACCGAACCGACUAAUGUUGAAAAAUUAGCGGAUGACCUGUGGCUGGGGGUGAAAGGCCAAUCAAACCGGGAGAUAGCUGGUUCUCCCCGAAAGCUAUUUAGGUAGCGCCUCGUGAAUUCAUCUCCGGGGGUAGAGCACUGUUUCGGCUAGGGGGCCAUCCCGGCUUACCAACCCGAUGCAAACUGCGAAUACCGGAGAAUGUUAUCACGGGAGACACACGGCGGGUGCUAACGUCCGUCGUGAAGAGGGAAACAACCCAGACCGCCAGCUAAGGUCCCAAAGUCAUGGUUAAGUGGGAAACGAUGUGGGAAGGCCCAGACAGCCAGGAUGUUGGCUUAGAAGCAGCCAUCAUUUAAAGAAAGCGUAAUAGCUCACUGGUCGAGUCGGCCUGCGCGGAAGAUGUAACGGGGCUAAACCAUGCACCGAAGCUGCGGCAGCGACGCUGAUGCGUUGUUGGGUAGGGGAGCGUUCUGUAAGCCUGCGAAGGUGGCCUGUGAGGGUUGCUGGAGGUAUCAGAAGUGCGAAUGCUGACAUAAGUAACGAUAAAGCGGGUGAAAAGCCCGCUCGCCGGAAGACCAAGGGUUCCUGUCCAACGUUAAUCGGGGCAGGGUGAGUCGACCCCUAAGGCGAGGCCGAAAGGCGUAGUCGAUGGGAAACGGGUUAAUAUUCCCGUACUUGGUGUUACUGCGAAGGGGGGACGGAGAAGGCUAUGUUGGCCGGGCGACGGUUGUCCCGGUUUAAGCGUGUAGGUGUGUGUUCCAGGUAAAUCCGGUUCACUUUAACACUGAGGCGUGAUGACGAGGCACUACGGUGCUGAAGCAACAAAUGCCCUGCUUCCAGGAAAAGCCUCUAAGCAUCAGGUAACAUCAAAUCGUACCCCAAACCGACACAGGUGGUCAGGUAGAGAAUACCAAGGCGCUUGAGAGAACUCGGGUGAAGGAACUAGGCAAAAUGGUGCCGUAACUUCGGGAGAAGGCACGCUGACACGUAGGUGAAGUGAUUUACUCAUGGAGCUGAAGUCAGUCGAAGAUACCAGCUGGCUGCAACUGUUUAUUAAAAACACAGCACUGUGCAAACACGAAAGUGGACGUAUACGGUGUGACGCCUGCCCGGUGCCGGAAGGUUAAUUGAUGGGGUCAGCGCAAGCGAAGCUCCUGAUCGAAGCCCCGGUAAACGGCGGCCGUAACUAUAACGGUCCUAAGGUAGCGAAAUUCCUUGUCGGGUAAGUUCCGACCUGCACGAAUGGCGUAAUGAUGGCCAGGCUGUCUCCACCCGAGACUCAGUGAAAUUGAACUCGCUGUGAAGAUGCAGUGUACCCGCGGCAAGACGGAAAGACCCCGUGAACCUUUACUAUAGCUUGACACUGAACAUUGAGCCUUGAUGUGUAGGAUAGGUGGGAGGCUUUGAAGUGUGGACGCCAGUCUGCAUGGAGCCGACCUUGAAAUACCACCCUUUAAUGUUUGAUGUUCUAACGUGGACCCGUGAUCCGGGUUGCGGACAGUGUCUGGUGGGUAGUUUGACUGGGGCGGUCUCCUCCUAAAGAGUAACGGAGGAGCACGAAGGUUGGCUAAUCCUGGUCGGACAUCAGGAGGUUAGUGCAAUGGCAUAAGCCAGCUUGACUGCGAGCGUGACGGCGCGAGCAGGUGCGAAAGCAGGUCAUAGUGAUCCGGUGGUUCUGAAUGGAAGGGCCAUCGCUCAACGGAUAAAAGGUACUCCGGGGAUAACAGGCUGAUACCGCCCAAGAGUUCAUAUCGACGGCGGUGUUUGGCACCUCGAUGUCGGCUCAUCACAUCCUGGGGCUGAAGUAGGUCCCAAGGGUAUGGCUGUUCGCCAUUUAAAGUGGUACGCGAGCUGGGUUUAGAACGUCGUGAGACAGUUCGGUCCCUAUCUGCCGUGGGCGCUGGAGAACUGAGGGGGGCUGCUCCUAGUACGAGAGGACCGGAGUGGACGCAUCACUGGUGUUCGGGUUGUCAUGCCAAUGGCACUGCCCGGUAGCUAAAUGCGGAAGAGAUAAGUGCUGAAAGCAUCUAAGCACGAAACUUGCCCCGAGAUGAGUUCUCCCUGAGACUUUAGGUCUCCUGAAGGAACGUUGAAGACGACGACGUUGAUAGGCCGGGUGUGUAAGCGCAGCGAUGCGUUGAGCUAACCGGUACUAAUGAACCGUGAGGCUUAACCUUACA